GGAGCAGGCAGCAUUUGACGCAACCAUGGAGGCAGUGCUAAUGGAAACAUUUAGGAGAUUUCAUACGCCACCUAGCUGUAAUACUUUACUCAAGAAGACUGUUUAUAUGAGUGCUUUUGUGACUGGAUGUUGCGGCAAGCCGGAAUUAAGAAGGAUGAUAAAGCGCAUUGAGUGGAUUACUCAGGGCAACUCGAAGAACGCUUUUCUGGCUGAUGCAACAUGAAAGGAAUCCCGCGCUACCUACCAGACACAGUGCAGGUGCUCUUUCCGGGCUUCUCAUCUUCGUGUGUUUCAAAA